rnacentral:lncRNA from 1 species
AAGGCAUCUUGCACAGGAGUUCAUGCCCUGGGGUGCUGUCUGUCUGUCUGUCUGUCUGUCUGUCUGUCUGUCUGUCUGUCUGUCUCUUCUCUCCUCGCCCAUCUCCUCCCCCUUUCUCUCUCUAGGUUCCCUUUUGUGUAGCCCUGAGUAUCCUGGAAGUCCCUCUGUAGAUCAAUCUCGCCUUUGAACUCACAGAGAACUGCCUGUCUCUGCCUCCCAAGUGCUCGGAUUAAAGAUGUUUGCCACCACUGUCCAGCAAUGUACAGCCUCUUAAAUCACCUCCCAGAGCCAGGACCAAAGCAGAGAGGUAAGAGCUCAUCUCAGAAGAGGCACCAUGACGUAAUUCAAGAACAGAACCAGUGUGCUUUUCAAACCCCUGCUUUCUGCAUAAAACCUGCGUUUCUGGACAUUUCUUGCUCCUUCUUCCCAAACCAGCUUACUCUGGACUUUUUUCACAUUCCAAAAAUCCGUGUGUAGUUCUGAGGCUCAUUGCUACGGGAAGCUGAUACUAUAAUUUGUUGCAGGAUAUUUGGCCACACUGUGAACCCCAGGGUUCUGUUAUUUACUGAAAACACCUGGUUCUAGUUGUGUUUUGGCUCUGCCUUGGCACACUCCUUUAAUCUUUCUGGCUGGAAUAUAGACACGCCCUUAGCAGACACCUUUAAUCCCAAACAAUGAAUUUAAAAUUAGUUCGUAGAAGGAAGCAUCCAUGUUUGUGAUAUCCAAUUGAGUGGCAGACAAACUGACGAAUCAGAGAAAGACUUGGCAGUCUAGGAUGUGCUCAGCUCUCAUGAGAAGAGAGAGGAAAGAAGAACUAUUUGACGAACCGUGCAGAGAGAACAAGGAAGGAGGCAGUUUUCUGGGGAGAGUUUUACAGAGACAGGUUGAAGAGAGGACAAGCUAACACAGGUAAAGACAGAAUGAGGAGUGAGCCAGAGAAUGAGAAGGAGUCAGAAGACAGAACAGAUUGCUAGAGUUAGUUUGAGGUCAAGCAGAGCAAUUCAGGA